CCUACGGGAGGCAGCAGUAGGGAAUAUUGCUCAAUGGGGGAAACCCUGAAGCAGCAACGCCGCGUGGAGGAUGAAGGUUUUCGGAUUUGAAACUCCUUUUUUUAGAGAAGUUAAUGACGGUAUCUAACGAAUAAUCACCGGCUAAUUCCGUGCCAGCAGCCGCGGGAAUACGGAGGGUGCAAGCGUUACUCGGAAUCACUGGGCGUAAAGAGAGAGUAGGGGGGAUAGCAAGUCAGAUGUGAAAUCCUAUGGCUUAACCAUAGAACUGCAUUUGAAACUGUUAUUCUAGAGUAUGGGAGAGGUAGGUGGAAUUCGUGGUGUAGGGGUAAAAUCCGUAGAGAUCAAGAAGAAUUCUCAUUGCGAAGGCGACCUGCUAGAACAUAACUGACGCUGAUGCGCGAAAGCGUGGGGAGCAAACAGGAUUAGAUACCCGUGUAGUC
rnacentral:rRNA from 1 species